AGAGUUUGAUCCUGGCUCAGGACGAACGCUGGCGGCGUGCCUAAUACAUGCAAGUCGAGCGAGCGGAACUAACAGAUUUACUUCGGUAAUGACGUUAGGAAAGCGAGCGGCGGAUGGGUGAGUAACACGUGGGGAACCUGCCCCAUAGUCUGGGAUACCACUUGGAAACAGGUGCUAAUACCGGAUAAGAAAGCAGAUCGCAUGAUCAGCUUUUAAAAGGCGGCGUAGGCUGUCGCUAUGGGAUGGCCCCGCGGUGCAUUAGCUAGUUGGUAAGGUAAAGGCUUACCAAGGCGAUGAUGCAUAGCCGAGUUGAGAGACUGAUCGGCCACAUUGGGACUGAGACACGGCCCAAACUCCUACGGGAGGCAGCAGUAGGGAAUCUUCCACAAUGGACGCAAGUCUGAUGGAGCAACGCCGCGUGAGUGAAGAAGGUUUUCGGAUCGUAAAGCUCUGUUGUUGGUGAAGAAGGAUAGAGGUAGUAACUGGCCUUUAUUUGACGGUAAUCAACCAGAAAGUCACGGCUAACUACGUGCCAGCAGCCGCGGUAAUACGUAGGUGGCAAGCGUUGUCCGGAUUUAUUGGGCGUAAAGCGAGCGCAGGCGGAAGAAUAAGUCUGAUGUGAAAGCCCUCGGCUUAACCGAGGAACUGCAUCGGAAACUGUUUUUCUUGAGUGCAGAAGAGGACAGUGGAACUCCAUGUGU
rnacentral:rRNA from 1 species